rnacentral:lncRNA from 1 species
GAUUAGUGCUGGUGUAAAUGCUCCUUUGGUCGGCAAGCAUCAGCUAAGUUUGGUCCAGUGUUCCCUUCUGCUCUAACAGGACAGUACUGAGUUCAAUGACUCAAAAUUGCUGUGUUCUCCCUCCUCUUGUCAGAGCCAUUCUGCCACUGAAGGGGGUGGAAAGGGGUAGUGUUGGCAAUUCAGGGUUGCUUUUUCUAUCUUUUCAGUUCCUCUUUCAGCAAUAUGAAAACCAGGCACUAUGAGUAUUUAACUGAUUUUUCAUUCUUAUAUAGGUGUUUUUUUUUUUCUAUGUAGAUAGUUGUUAAAUUGGUGUCCUUGAGGGGGCAAUGAUUGGUGGAGUCUUCUAUUCUGCCAUCUUGCUCCACAUUUCUCCCAAAUUUUAUUCUUUUGCUUUUGGAUACCCAGUUUUCCAGUAACAUAGAUUAACUAACCAUAUAUCUAUGAGUUUGAGUUUAUUUCUGGGCUUUCUCUUCCAUUCCAUUGGUCUAUAUGUCUGUUUUCAUACCAAUACUAUAUGGUGAUUAUUGUAGCUUUGUAAGAUAUUUUGAAAUUAGGAUGUGUGACACCUCUAGCUUUGCUUUGCUUGCUCAAUAUUGCAUUGGUUUUGGUGUCUUUUGUGAUUUUUUUUUUUUUUAGAUGGAGUCUCGCUCUGUCGCCCAGGCUGGAGCGUAGGGGUGCACUUGGCUCACUGAAACAUCCACUUCCCAGGUUCAAACGAUUCUCCUGCCUCAGCCUCCUGAGUAGCUGGGACUACAGGUGGAAGGAGGCCUGUGAAAAAAGAUGGAAAAAUGAGAAGCCCCAAAUUUUCAACCCUUUCAAAUUUAUGAAAAUGACAAAGGAAUCAAAGGUAAGUUUUAGAGGCUAGAAUCUUCAUUUUCUUACCUUCUGAAGCCCAAGCCUUGAGCUAAUGGAAACAUAGGAACAUUAAAGUGAGUCACUAUUGAGGCAUCCACAACCCUCAGGCUCAGGGCUGCUUUCCCAAGAAAAGCUGGAGGAGGCAGAAGCCACCUGGGGAUCCUGGUGUUUUACUUGGCUCCAUGUCCACAUGGCAUCAGAGUAAUGAAGCAGGAGGAGCUGAUGGGACAGGUGAGCCUGGGGCAGUUCUCCUGGCUCCACCAAAGCCUCACCCUGCCUGCAAGAAUGCCUGUGUGCCCUCUUCGAGCAAUGAGAAGUACUGGGAGAGCCAGAGUACC